UACGAAGGGUGCAAGCGUUGUUCGGAAUCACUGGGCGUAAAGAAUGCGUAGGCGGCUUGAUAAGUCAGGAGUGAAAUCCCAGGGCUCAACCCUGGAACUGCUUUUGAAACUAUCUUGCUAGAGUCCCGGAGGGGUUAGCGGAAUUCCGAGUGUAGAGGUGAAAUUCGCAGAUAUUCGGAGGAACACCAGUGGCGAAGGCGGCUAACUGGACGGGAACUGACGCUGAGGUAUGAAAGUGUGGGGAUCAAACAGG
rnacentral:rRNA from 1 species